rnacentral:lncRNA from 1 species
AUUAGAAAGAGUUUCUAAUGUUUCAUUAUUCGAAUUAUCAUUAGAAGAUUGAGAAAUAUAUGAAUAUAAAAUUGAGUUUGACAUAUAUUCAUACUCAUAUACAUAUUCGGAAUGCAGUUUGAUUAAAGGAUUGAACUGCACGGUAACUUGCCACUGAAGGGUAUUUUUGGUAUUUCCACCAAAUUCCAUAUUUUCCGGGUAGACAUGACACGUUGCUAGACAUCAAUCUUGUCUUAUAGGUUUGAUCGAAUUAAAGAGUUUAAUUCGAUCACCAAUUAGAAAGGAUUCUAAUUGUUAAGUUUGGGUUCGCGCAGUAUGGACUUAAAUCGAUUAGAAGAGUUCUAAUCAAGUUGGGUCAACUCGCACUCACACCUAUUGCUGGCUAAGUAUGGAUCCCAAUGGGUCAUACACAAGAAAACUUAUUAAGGGUCUAAUUGGAUUAGAUCAUAUUUGCAAAAUAGACAUCCUAGCAGGUGUUGCAAACCCUUAGCUCUUGAUUCGAAUUGGAUUCGAAUCUGAUUCUUAAUUGAUCUAAUUUGAUUAGAUCAUGUUCUAAUAUGGGUUAGCCAAGAGUUGGCACCUAAUUGGCUUGGUUUGAGUCUAAUUGGAUUAGAUUUAAUAAAUCAUUCAAUCUAGACCGUUAGAUCUUGAUCUACCGUUGGAUGAAGACAUAAUGAAGAGUUGGUUUAACCCAAUUGGAUUGGGUUAGAGGAUGGCUAUCAUAAUUGACCAUUGGAUCUUAAUUCCACCAUUGGAUGAAGACAUAAUGGGUCAAGUAAAUGGCGCCUUGCAUUGGAGCCCUUGGAUCAUCAUCAUGAAAGAUCAAGAGGUGAGGCGUGAUGGACAUGUGAUUAUCAUGUGAUGUUGACUUGGUCAAAAUAUGACACCACAUGAAAGGACAUAUCAUUUGAUACACCUCCUCACUUGAUCUGCACCUCCUCUUAUUUGAUAUGGCCCUUUAGAUGAUUCCCUUUUAUGAGAGGAUGUGUGGAUGGGAUGCAUCCCUUGGAGAUGCAUCCCUACACCUAUUAUAAAUAGGCUAGCACUCUAUGGGUUUCAUAUUCCAACUCCACCCCACUCCUCUCUUCUUUCUUUCUUACAUUAGUUUCUUUCUUUCUAGCAUUGCUUCUAGUGUGUCCUAAGCCAAGACAAGGUGGUCUUCUUUAGGACAAAAGGAUUAGAAGUGAUUUUAGAAGGUUAAAGAAAAAUAGAAAGAAAGGAAAGCAAGCCAUUAGAGUUCUUUAAGAAUUCUGCAUUAAGGAUCAAAGUCUUUGGAGCUUAAGACUUAAAUCAAGUUUUCGUGUGGAUCAACGUUGGAGGGUGAACACUUGGGCACCUAGUGGAAAUUCUACACAUUGGAUUAGCGUUAGAGGUAUUCUUCUAUUUCUGCAUUUAUAUUAUAUUAUUUGAUUGCUUCCAUUAAGGUGAUCUUGGCUUAUAAGGGUUUUAUGUUAAGGAACUUU